rnacentral:rRNA from 1 species
GGGCGUAAAGAGCUCGUAGGUGGUUUGUCGCGUUGUCCGUGAAAUCUCACAACUCAAUUGUGAGCGUGCGGGCGAUACGGGCAGACUGGAGUACUGCAGGGGAGACUGGAAUUCCUGGUGUAGCGGUGGAAUGCGUAGAUAUCAGGAGGAACACCGGUGGCGAAGGCGGGUCUCUGGGCAGUAACUGACGCUGAGGAGCGAAAGCGUGGGGAGCGAACAGGAUUAGAUACCCUGGUAGUCCACGCCGUAAACGGUGGGUACUAGGUGUGGGUUUCCUUCCUUGGGAUCCGUGCCGUAGCUAACGCAUUAAGUACCCCGCCUGGGGAGUACGGCCGCAAGGCUAAAACUCAAAGAAAUUGACGGGGGCCCGCACAAGCGGCGGAGCAUGUGGAUUAAUUCGAUGCAACGCGAAGAACCUUACCUGGGUUUGACAUGCACAGGACGCCGGCAGAGAUGUCGGUUCCCUUGUGGCCUGUGUGCAGGUGGUGCAUGGCUGUUGUCAGCUCGUGUCGUGAGAUGUUGGGUUAAGUCCCGCAACGAGCGCAACCCUUGUCUCAUGUUGCCAGCACGUUAUGGUGGGGACUCGUGAGAGACUGCCGGGGUCAACUCGGAGGAAGGUAUC